GUCUUGUUGAAGAUUUCUGUAUACCUGAGGUUUUAUGAAGCCUGGGACCUUGCUGCUCUGCUGUCAUUGAGGUGCUCUCCAUUGCAUUAAACAAGGAUAUUGCAGGGAGCAAAGCUGGCUGCUUAGAGCCCCUGAAGAGAGCCACCACCAUCUUGAUGCUGCUCAGCACAGUGUGCCUCCUGCAGACAGAGAGCAAAACCAGUUCUCUGCUGCCAGCUAGAGAAAAGUUUUUCCAUGGCAGCAGCACACACGGACUGCAGUUGGUGACCUGAGGCAGGGCUCCAGUGCCUGGCUGCCUUCAGACAAAGCUCUCUGCUGGCACUGCACUCUCUGGGAAGGACCGAAGAUGCUCUCCCAUCAAGGAGCAGAGCUGUGUGGUGCCUGGUGCCAUGAGCUGCACUCGUGCUGUGCUGCUACACAGGUACUCACACAAGAGGGCCCUGCAGAACACCCUGUGUGCACAUGUGUGUGCUGGCGGUCUGUGGAAAAAGGAUGAGAUUUGAUACCAAUUCCCUUAAUUUAUUCACACCAAAUGUCAGUGAGGUGUCAUAUAAAAAUCUUUAAUGAUUUUAAAACAAAUGGUCCUUGAGGCAGGAAAAUAGUUAUAGUGCCGUUUCUAAAAUUAAUUUAAUGCCUUUGGAAUAGAAAUAAAAAUGAACGCCUGCUCAGCUGUGUGUGCACCUCAAAAAGCAUCUGUCUGUACCUGAGGACCCUCCGGCUGCCCCGGGCUUCCUGGCUACAUGGCCCAUGUCUGCGGGGCUGUAUUGCAGGCUGUGUUCUCAUUGCCUUGCUGCAACAAGCACCUGUGCUAAUUAGUACCUGCAAUUUGCUUUACACAGAAGCAGAACCUAUUUUUAUGACAUUUCCAAAUGACUCAUAACAGUGCAUCUCCUCACCAUGUGUGCUGAAGCCCAGGCCAGCACUGUGUUCCAGGCCUGGAGUCCUCUGUGCAGGCUGCUGGGAUGGCAGUGCAUGGUGCUGCUGUACCCUGACAUACUGCUGGCAGUGGCUCCAGCCCUGCGGUCACUGCAACACUUGAGCAUGUGUGUCUUAA